GUCCCUGUAGUGCAAUGGAUAGCACAUUGGACUUCUAAUCCAAAGGUUGUGGGUUUAAGAACCGUACCAGAGAUG